rnacentral:rRNA from 1 species
UACGUAGGCGGCCAUAUAAGUCAGAACUGAAAGGCUACGGCUUAACCGUAGUAAGCUUUUGAAACUGUAUGGCUUGAGUGCAGGAGAGGAAAGCGGAAUUCCUAGUGUAGCGGUGAAAUGCGUAGAUAUUAGGAAGAACACCAGUAGCGAAGGCGGCUUUCUGGACUGAAACUGACGCUGAGGUACGAAAGCGUGGGGAGCGAACAGGAUUAGAUACCCUGGUAGUCC